AAACCGUUCAGGGGUAAACCUGAGGAACCCGAAAGAUCGAAUGGGGAGAUUCAGCGUCAGCGGCGCUGGCUCGGCGAAGUGGACGAUGUCGCGGACUACGGUAUCGCGACACGUUAUCACUAUGCCGCGUCCGGUGUCGUCGUCGUGCACUUCUCCUCUAGUAGAACGUCGCGACCCGUUGGGUGCCGGUCUACGGCCCGAGAUGUAGCCUGUCGCGUCGCUUAGGCGCAUGCGGCAGACUCUCGGUCGCCCGGCCGGCUGCCCGGCGGUAGAAAGCACGGUAUCUGGCCGCAAUUUUUGAACUGCGUCGGGCCCGCCGCAAGCGAGGCCAGUGUCCCGGAGGUACGGACCCAGUGCCGUCCCCGGGCCUGGCCAGCUGUUGGCAGGCGGAGUCCUCAGACGGGCAGAUCAUGAUGGUACCGGUCGGCGACGCUACUGCUUUGGGUACUCUCAGGACCCGUCUUGAAACACGGACCAAGGAGUCUAACAUGUGCGCGAGUCAUUGGGACCGCAAAGCCUAAAGGCGCAAUGAAAGUGAAGGUCGGCCUCGCGUCGACCGAGGGAGGAUGGGCCGCGUCACGACGCGGCUCCGCACUCCCGGGGCGUCUCGUUCUCAUUGCGAGAAGAGGCGCACCCAGAGCGUACACGUUGG
rnacentral:rRNA from 1 species